UAUAAGAAACGCAGAGGGAAAUCACAAUUAAUAGGGAAUGAAAUUCUCUUGGAUCCAUCGUUUUAUGUCACUCUUUGUCCUCCUUAUAUCUAUAUCAUCCAAUAUCUCUGCGGCACAAAACUCUUUCGUCCGUACAGAAGAUCGUGUACUGAUUACCCGGAAAUUGGUAGUAUUACCAAGCCCUCCUCCACCACCAAAACAAGCAACGCCUCCAGGUGCUGGACGCAUAUAAACUUAUAUGUUAUGGGUUGUUGAUAUGGAACCAUUUGAAUUUUGAAUUAAAAAAACACAGUCAACGUUGUUGCAGAUAUAUAACAUGCAGUAGUGUUAGUGGGAAAUAAUUGUAUAAAUUUGUGUUUUCAGUUCGCAAAGACUUAAAACUAAAACCAGUAUCUUAUGCUUUUAUACCACAAAGAUAAUGUAUUGGUUGAUAGUGAUACAAACAUAUAACUAAGUACCCAAGACAUUAUUUCUUAAUUCAUAUACUUCUCAUCUUAUUUA